rnacentral:tRNA from 2 species
CAGAGUGUAGCUAAGACAGAAAAGCGUCUCCCUUACACUGAGAAGUCGCCCGUGCAAAUCGGGCCACCCUGA